rnacentral:rRNA from 1 species
UUAAGCGACUAAGCGUACACGGUGGAUGCCCUGGCAGUCAGAGGCGAUGAAGGACGUGCUAAUCUGCGAAAAGCGUCGGUAAGGUGAUAUGAACCGUUACAGCCGGCGAUGUCCGAAUGGGGAAACCCAGUGCAAUUCGUUGCACUAUCGUUAACUGAAUACAUAGGUUAACGAGGCGAACCGGGGGAACUGAAACAUCUAAGUACCCCGAGGAAAAGAAAUCAACCGAGAUUCCCCCAGUAGCGGCGAGCGAACGGGGAGCAGCCCAGAGUCUGAAUCAGCUUGUGUGUUAGUGGAACGGUCUGGAAAGUCCGACGGUACAGGGUGAUAGUCCCGUACACCAAAAUGCACAGGUUGUGAACUCGAAGAGUAGGGCGGGACACGUGGUAUCCUGUCUGAAUAUGGGGGGACCAUCCUCCAAGGCUAAAUACUCCUGACUGACCGAUAGUGAACCAGUACCGUGAGGGAAAGGCGAAAAGAACCCCGGCGAGGGGAGUGAAAAAGAACCUGAAACCGUGUACGUACAAGCAGUGGGAGCACCUUCGGGUGUGACUGCGUACCUUUUGUAUAAUGGGUCAGCGACUUAUAUUCUGUAGCAAGGUUAACCGUAUAGGGGAGCCGCAGGGAAACCGAGUCUUAACUGGGCGUUAAGUUGCAGGGUAUAGACCCGAAACCCGGUGAUCUAGCCAUGGGCAGGUUGAAGGUUGGGUAACACUAACUGGAGGACCGAACCGACUAAUGUUGAAAAAUUAGCGGAUGACUUGUGGCUGGGGGUGAAAGGCCAAUCAAACCGGGAGAUAGCUGGUUCUCCCCGAAAGCUAUUUAGGUAGCGCCUCGUGAAUUCAUCUUCGGGGGUAGAGCACUGUUUCGGCUAGGGGGUCAUCCCGACUUACCAACCCGAUGCAAACUACGAAUACCGAAGAAUGUUAUCACGGGAGACACACGGCGGGUGCUAACGUCCGUCGUGAAGAGGGAAACAACCCAGACCGCCAGCUAAGGUCCCAAAGUCAUGGUUAAGUGGGAAACGAUGUGGGAAGGCACAGACAGCCAGGAUGUUGGCUUAGAAGCAGCCAUCAUUUAAAGAAAGCGUAAUAGCUCACUGGUCGAGUCGGCCUGCGCGGAAGAUGUAACGGGGCUAAACCAUGCACCGAAGCUGCGGCAGCGACACUAUGUGUUGUUGGGUAGGGGAGCGUUCUGUAAGCCUGCGAAGGUGACCUGUGAGGGUUGCUGGAGGUAUCAGAAGUGCGAAUGCUGACAUAAGUAACGAUAAAGCGGGUGAAAAGCCCGCUCGCCGGAAGACCAAGGGUUCCUGUCCAACGUUAAUCGGGGCAGGGUGAGUCGACCCCUAAGGCGAGGCCGAAAGGCGUAGUCGAUGGGAAACAGGUUAAUAUUCCUGUACUUGGUGUUACUGCGAAGGGGGGACGGAGAAGGCUAUGUUAGCCGGGCGACGGUUGUCCCGGUUUAAGCAUGUAGGCUGGUUGUCCAGGCAAAUCCGGAUAAUCAAGGCUGAGGUGUGAUGACGAGGCACUACGGUGCUGAAGUAACAAAUGCCCUGCUUCCAGGAAAAGCCUCUAAGCAUCAGGUAACAUCAAAUCGUACCCCAAACCGACACAGGUGGUCAGGUAGAGAAUACCAAGGCGCUUGAGAGAACUCGGGUGAAGGAACUAGGCAAAAUGGUGCCGUAACUUCGGGAGAAGGCACGCUGGUGUGUAGGUGAAGUCCCUGCGGAUGGAGCUGAGACCAGUCGAAGAUACCAGCUGGCUGCAACUGUUUAUUAAAAACACAGCACUGUGCAAACACGAAAGUGGACGUAUACGGUGUGACGCCUGCCCGGUGCCGGAAGGUUAAUUGAUGGGGUUAUCCGUAAGGAGAAGCUCUUGAUCGAAGCCCCGGUAAACGGCGGCCGUAACUAUAACGGUCCUAAGGUAGCGAAAUUCCUUGUCGGGUAAGUUCCGACCUGCACGAAUGGCGUAAUGAUGGCCAGGCUGUCUCCACCCGAGACUCAGUGAAAUUGAACUCGCUGUGAAGAUGCAGUGUACCCGCGGCAAGACGGAAAGACCCCGUGAACCUUUACUAUAGCUUGACACUGAACAUUGAGCCUUGAUGUGUAGGAUAGGUGGGAGGCUUUGAAGCGUGGACGCCAGUCUGCGUGGAGCCAACCUUGAAAUACCACCCUUUAAUGUUUGAUGUUCUAACGUUGGCCCCUGACCGGGGUUGCGGACAGUGUCUGGUGGGUAGUUUGACUGGGGCGGUCUCCUCCCAAAGCGUAACGGAGGAGCACGAAGGUUAGCUAAUCCUGGUCGGACAUCAGGAGGUUAGUGCAAUGGCAUAAGCUAGCUUGACUGCGAGCGUGACGGCGCGAGCAGGUGCGAAAGCAGGUCAUAGUGAUCCGGUGGUUCUGAAUGGAAGGGCCAUCGCUCAACGGAUAAAAGGUACUCCGGGGAUAACAGGCUGAUACCGCCCAAGAGUUCAUAUCGACGGCGGUGUUUGGCACCUCGAUGUCGGCUCAUCACAUCCUGGGGCUGAAGUAGGUCCCAAGGGUAUGGCUGUUCGCCAUUUAAAGUGGUACGCGAGCUGGGUUUAGAACGUCGUGAGACAGUUCGGUCCCUAUCUGCCGUGGGCGCUGGAGAAUUGAGGGGGGCUGCUCCUAGUACGAGAGGACCGGAGUGGACGCAUCACUGGUGUUCGGGUUGUCAUGCCAAUGGCACUGCCCGGUAGCUAAAUGCGGAAGAGAUAAGUGCUGAAAGCAUCUAAGCACGAAACUUGCCCCGAGAUGAGUUCUCCCUGAGACUAUAAGUCUCCUGAAGGAACGUUAAAGACGAUGACGUUGAUAGGCCGGGUGUGUAAGCGCAGCGAUGCGUUGAGCUAACCGGUACUAAUGAACCGUGAGGCUUAACCUU